rnacentral:rRNA from 1 species
UACGGAGGGAGCUAGCGUUGUUCGGAAUUACUGGGCGUAAAGCGCGCGUAGGCGGCUUUGUAAGUUAGAGGUGAAAGCCUGGAGCUCAACUUCAGAAUUGCCUUUAAGACUGCAUCGCUUGAAUCCGGGAGAGGUGAGUGGAAUUCCGAGUGUAGAGGUGAAAUUCGUAGAUAUUCGGAAGAACACCAGUGGCGAAGGCGGCUCACUGGCCCGGAACUGACGCUGAGGUGCGAAAGCGUGGGGAGCAAACAGG